rnacentral:rRNA from 1 species
UUGUCCCUAGUUGCUACGCAAGAGCACUCUAGGGAGACUGCCGGUGACAAACCGGAGGAAGGUGGGGAUGACGUCAAGUCCUCAUGGCCCUUAUGGGUAGGGCUUCACACGUCAUACAAUGGUCGGAACAGAGGGUCGCCAACCCGCGAGGGGGAGCCAAUCCCAGAAAACCGAUCGUAGUCCGGAUCGCACUCUGCAACUCGAGUGCGUGAAGCUGGAAUCGCUAGUAAUCGCGGAUCAGCAUGCC